GUCACUUAUUUUUAGUCUUAUCAAUUUCACCUGAAUGAUGGAAUUUAGUGGCGCUGAGUGUUUGUUGAAGAGACAAGAAGUGCGGGAGUGAAAAUUUAUUCCACAUGGUUCGGUGUUAUAGUUUCCAAAAUAGAGCAACCGUUAAUUUUCGUAAACUUCUUAUCGAUUCGGUUUAUAUUAUAGUUUUGUAAGGAUUACACUCAUCUGUGAAAUUUGACACUCUACGAAAAACAGACAACAGUGGUAGUGCAUAGAUCACCUGACAGUGGACCCCUGAAAGUGUUAAUUGCGAAGGAAACUUAUGAAGGGCCUCGCUAUCGCACCGAAAACCAUCUCAUCCGAAAUCAGGCAUAUUUGGGAUAUCGAUUGGAAGCAGUAAACGAUUUGCUAAUUGAGAAUGCGCAAUGACACAGAGAAUUUACCAGUGGUCUUCGAACCCUCACGAGGGACAGCAGCAGGACUUGCAAAUGGAACCCCUCAAAUUAAACUCACGCCGCCAGGAAAAAAUCCCCUCGAGGUACACGCAGGUCGACAAGGAAAAGGAUAAUCAGGAGACUGAGUACAUGCUGCAAGAAAAUGGCGAACCAAUUGAAUUUGUUCCUCCACAGAAGAAAGAGGAGGAAAAACCGGCCCCUCAGCCAAGUCUACCACCAGUACCUUAUUAUAGGCUUUUCCGAUUUGCAACAUGCAGUGAGCUGAUGCUAGUAUUCGGUGGACUCUUCAUGGGCACCCUAACGGGACUCUGCAUUCCCAUCUCCACCAUACAAUACGGCGAGUUCACGACCCUCCUUGUCGAUCGUAAUAUGGACAAUCAAACCAGCACGCCGACCUUGAUCCUGGAGUGGUUUGGCGGUGGAAAAGUCUUGGGUCCUAAUGCUACCCGCGAUGAACGUAUGGACGCUUUAUACGACGAUUCCAAGGCAUUCGGUGUCUCCUGUGCCGCACUAUCAACGCUACAGUUCUUCUUUGCCAUAUUCACCGUAGACCUUCUUAACGUAGCUGCCUUUAGACAGAUCGCUAGAGUACGCAGGAUUUUCUUACAGGCGGUGCUCAGGCAAGACAUGACAUGGUACGACACCAACACUUCAACGAACUUUGCCAGCAGGAUUACAGAAGAUCUUGACAAGAUGAAAGACGGAAUUGGCGAGAAACUCGGCAUCUUUACAUACUUGAUGGUCUCCUUCAUCUCAUCGAUAAUCAUAUCUUUUAUUUAUGGUUGGAAGCUGACCCUGGUGGUCCUUAGUUGUGCACCGAUAAUCGUUAUCGCAACGGCGAUCGUAGCUAAGGUUCAAAGUUCGUUGACGGCUCAGGAGUUGGCUGCUUAUGGGCAGGCCGGUAACGUAGCUGAAGAGGUACUUGGGGCCAUAAGAACGGUCGUGGCCUUUGGUGGUGAAAAAAAGGAAGUAAGUCGCUACGCGGAGAAGUUGGUUCCAGCUGACAGAACGGGUACGAGACGUGGAAUGUGGUCCGGAGUAGGUGGAGGUGUCAUGUGGUUCAUCAUCUACUUGAGCUAUGCUUUAGCUUUUUGGUACGGCGUUCAAUUGAUUUUGGAAGAUAGACCGAAUGAAAAGAAGGACUACACACCAGCCGUACUGGUCAUCGUAUUUUUCGGUGUGUUAGCCGGUGCUCAAAAUAUGGGACUAACUUCACCUCAUCUCGAGGCCUUUGCUGUGGCCAGAGGAUCAGCUGCUGCUGUAUUUACAGUCUUAGACCGUGUACCGAUUAUUGACAGCCUAAGUCCCAACGGUCAGAAGCUGAAGGGUGUCAAUGGUGAUAUAGAAUUCAAGGAUGUUCACUUCAAGUAUCCUGCGAGAAAAGAUGUGAAAGUACUCCAGGGUUUGAAUUUGAAAAUCAAUCAUGGCGAAACGGUCGCGUUAGUUGGAGGUUCUGGAUGCGGGAAGUCAACGUGUCUUCAACUUAUUCAAAGGCUUUAUGAUCCCCACCAGGGUGAGGUGCAUCUCGACGGAGUUGACAUCUCGAAACUGAACGUACAGUGGCUCCGAUCACACAUUGGUGUUGUGGGUCAAGAGCCGGUAUUAUUUGACACUACUAUUCGCGAAAAUAUACGCUAUGGAAACGAAAAUGUAACUGAAGAAGAAAUGAUCAAGGCAGCAAAAGAAGCAAACGCACACGAUUUCAUCAGCAAACUUCCAGAGGGUUAUGACAGUCCAGUUGGCGAGAGAGGCUCGCAGCUAUCGGGUGGUCAAAAACAAAGGAUAGCCAUUGCUCGUGCUCUGGUACGUCGACCAGCUAUUUUAUUACUCGACGAGGCAACGUCAGCACUGGAUCUGCAUAGUGAAAACACAGUUCAGAGAGCCUUAGACGCUGCAUCGAAGGGUAGAACAACAGUAAUUGUGACCCACAGGCUUUCGACGAUCACAAAUGCCGACAGGAUCGUUUUUAUCAAAGAUGGAAAGGUUGCCGAAAUGGGAACUCACGAGGAGUUGAUUGCGCUUGGAAAUCAUUAUCACGCUCUGGUCUCUGCUGACUCCAACGCGGCAGCCAAAGCUAAAGCGACUGCUGCUGCUGCAAAAACUGUCACCGCUGCUAAACCAAAGCCCAAACCACCGCUCAAGAAACAAUUUUCUACCCUUUCGAUGCACUCUCAUCGGCUUUCGUUAGCUGCUGCUUCUGAGGGCUCCGAAGAAGAACUUGAAGAACAUGAGAAACCCUAUGAAGCUCCGUUAAUGCGAAUCUUUGGUUUGAACAAGCCAGAAUGGCCGUUCAAUAUAGUCGGCUGUCUCGCCGCUGCUACAGUCGGAGCAUCUUUUCCAGCAUUUGCGGUUCUUUUCGGUGAAGUCUACUACGUUUUAGGAUUACAGGAUCCGCAAGAAGUCCGCGACGAAACAAUCAGUUUUUCCAUACUUUUCAUUAUUGUCGGUGUCAUAACGGGCAUUGGCACAUUUUUGCAAAUGUACAUGUUUGGUCUAGCUGGAGUUCGCAUGACAACAAGAAUCCGAAAGAUAACCUUCGAAGCGAUGUUGAAGCAAGAAAUGGGAUGGUUCGACGAAGACAAAAACAGCGUUGGUGCAUUGUGCGCCAGAUUGUCAUCAGAUGCAGGCGCAGUGCAAGGUGCGACUGGGACUCGAAUCGGUGCAAUUCUUCAAGCACUUUCAACUCUAGUCCUUGGUAUCGGUGUGUCGAUGUAUUACACCUGGAAAAUGACUUUGGUUUCUGUGGUGUCUAUUCCAUUGGUACUGGGCGCGGUUUUCUUCGAGGCAAGAAUCAUGAGUGGCCAAGGGUUGCAGGAGAAGAAAAAGAUGGAAGGAGCAACACGAAUUGCUGUUGAAGCAAUCGGGAAUAUCCGCACCGUUGCAAGUCUGGGAAAAGAGAAGGCCUUCUUGGAUCGCUAUUGUGUGGAAUUAGCGCAUGUCGCCAAAGCUACCCGAAUACGCAACAGGCUUAGGGGUCUAGUAUUUUCUUGCGGUCAAACUACACCCUACUUUGGAUACGCACUUAGUUUAUAUUAUGGCGGGUACCUAGUGGCCAGAGAAAAUCUCGAUUAUCAGAAUGUAAUCAAGGUAUCCGAAGCAUUGAUCUUUGGCUCUUGGAUGUUGGGACAAGCACUUGCCUUUGCCCCUAAUUUCAAUACUGCAAAAAUUUCUGCUGGACGAAUAUUCAGAUUACUUGAUCGUGUUCCCGAAAUCACUACGCCUGCGGAACUUGAAGGGAAGGACACGGAUUGGAAAGCAGACGGUCUCAUUCAAUUCUCUAAAGUUGAAUUUCACUAUCCAACUCGUACGGAGUCUCAGAUUCUGCGAGGUCUCAAUCUCGUUGUAAAACCAGGUCAAAUGGUUGCCCUGGUUGGUCAAAGUGGUUGCGGAAAAUCAACUUGCAUUCAACUACUUCAACGUUUGUACGAUCCACUGUCAGGAACUGUGACAAUGGACCGCCGUGAUAUAUCAUCAGUCUCUUUAUCAGCCCUGAGAUCUCAGCUUGGUGUUGUAGGUCAGGAACCAGUACUAUUUGACAGAACCAUUGCUGAAAAUAUAGCAUAUGGUGAUAACAGCCGCACACCAUCCAUGGAUGAGAUCAUUGAAGCGGCAAAAAAGUCGAAUAUCCAUAGCUUUGUCAGCUCUUUACCGUUGGGUUAUGAGACAAGACUUGGAACCAAGGGAACUCAGCUUUCCGGAGGUCAGAAACAGAGAAUAGCUAUUGCGCGUGCCCUAGUAAGGAACCCAAGAAUUCUGCUGUUGGACGAAGCCACAUCUGCUCUCGACACCCAAAGUGAAAAGAUCGUACAAGCUGCUCUGGAUAAGGCAAUGGAAGGCCGAACAUGCAUCACCAUAGCCCAUCGACUUGCUACUAUUCAAAAUGCAGACGUAAUUUGCGUUUUGGAAAAAGGAACUGUCGCCGAAAUGGGAACCCAUGAAGAUCUGAUUGCAGCAGAUGGCCUUUACGCCCACUUACACGCUCUUCAAGAAGCCGCGUUAGAGUAGAACUUGUGACUUUUGAAUUAGAUCUCAACCCUCGACUCUUCACCUUCAACCUUCAACUCAGCGCCUUCUCUCCAUUCUGCAAACGUCAAUCGUACAUAAAUAUUUUUGCAGCAAAAUAAUCGGCCGAAACGCUUUGCGCAAUGGCAGAAUAACAAGUAUAAAGUGUGAGCGUCCAGAAAGAAGAAGCGCCGAGCCGAAGCAAUUGGGAUAUUACGCACUUCAACCGUUCUGGGGUUGGCAACCUUUUAAACUUAAAGGCACAAUUCUGUAUUGAAUAAUAUAGAUUUAUUUCUUGCUUGAUUAUAUCAUAGUGAUAUUUUAUUCAACGAUAAAUAUACAUACAAUGUGCGUUAUUAAUAGGCUAUUAUUUUUAUAUCCGUGAAAGUUGAAUCACGUAAUGUUUGUCUAUGGGUUUGGCACGUGAAACAUUAUUCCAUCGCACUUAUCAAGUCCUCAUCGAUCUAACUUGACUUUCAUUGUCUGUACUUAUGAGAGAGAAAGAUAUUUUCAGUUAUUUGAUUAUCAUCGAGAUUUUUGCACAAAUGAUUCAUAGAUUAUGAGUUAUUAAUAAAUCCAUAUUUGUACUUAUACUUCUGUGUACUCGUACUGCUUAAGUUUCUUGUAUUGAAGACUAUUUGUUGAGAGAUGAAUUCAGUCGAAUGAAAAGUAUGACAAAAAGCUUUGAAAAAUUUUUUACUAAAGAGUUGAAGGAACAGAAUGUGCUAAUUUCUAAAUUGUCAGAGAUUAGAAAUGGUUAUUGGAAAAAUUCUAAUUUUAUUUUACAAUUAGUUUAAAAAUUCUGUAGAAUGGCUGCACUUGCUUAUUACACAACUAGGCUUUCGGA